CCAGAUCCUGGAAAAUCCCCAGACCCAGAGCAGGCCUGCUCGUGCCCAGCCCCAGUCCCUCUUGCCCAGUUCUGUCUGUUUCUGCAUGUGUGACCUCGAGAGUCAGCAGGGCUUCUGGCUGCCUCAGCCCCUCGGCCCCGUGGUCGGAAUGGAGGCGUGUCUGUAAGCUAGGCAUACACUUGCUGUCGAGGUACUGGGUAUGGGCCUAAGCACGUUGCUAGCAGAAAGAUGAAGGUCUUAGAAUCAUUGAUUGGAAUGAUCCAGAAAUUCCCUUAUGAUGACCCUACUUAUGAUAAACUCCAUGAAGACUUAGACAAGAUCAGAGGAAAAUUUAAACAGGUGCGUGCACUGUGUGUUUCCUCCUGCUGGGAGCACCUGAUUGUGCCUUUCCCAGGUGGGGCAGCGCACUCCCGGGGCCGCUGCGGCAAUGGCCUGGGGCUGCGUGCACCACGGAACUGUCCGUAGAGGCGCCUCAUCCUUGAGUCGCAGUGCAGGAAAACUGAAGACAGUCCAGAGAAUAGGAGUUAGAACUCAUUUAUGGGCUGGCCACGUAGACAGGAAAAGCUAUAGCUAGAGAUAGAGUUAUCUUCUCAUUUUUCAGUAAAAAUGCACAAGAUUAAAAAUU
rnacentral:sRNA from 1 species